GUAGUCCACGCCCUAAACGAUGUGUGCUGAAUCACGGCAGCUCUGACGCUGUCGGGAUUGUAGAGAAAUUGGUAAGCACACCGCCUGGGGAGUACGGUCGCAAGGCUAAAACUCAAAGGAAUUGACGGGGGCUCACACAAGCAGUGGAGCAUGUGGCUCAAUUCGAAGCAACGCGCAGAACCUUACCUGGGCUUGACAUGGCUGGAUUAGCUCCUGGAAACAGGAGUAACGCUCGCAAGAGUGGAACAGUCACAGGUGCUGCAUGGCUGUCGUCAGCUCGUGCUGUGAAGCGUCGGGUUAAGUCCCUUAACGAGCGCAACCCUUGUCGCUAGUUACCAUCAGGUUAUGCUGGGGACUCUAGCGAGACUGCCGGUGUCAAACCGGA
rnacentral:rRNA from 1 species